GACGAACGCUGGCGGCGUGCUUAACACAUGCAAGUCGAACGGAAAGGCCCUGCUUGCAGGGUACUCGAGUGGCGAACGGGUGAGUAACACGUGGGUGAUCUGCCCUGCACUUCGGGAUAAGCCUGGGAAACUGGGUCUAAUACCGGAUAGGAGCCAUUUUUAGUGUGAUGGUUGGAAAGUUUUUUCGGUGUAGGAUGAGCUCGCGGCCUAUCAGCUUGUUGGUGGGGUAAUGGCCUACCAAGGCGGCGACGGGUAGCCGGCCUGAGAGGGUGGACGGCCACAUUGGGACUGAGAUACAGCCCAGACUCCUACGGGAGGCAACAGUGGGGAAUAUUGCACAAUGGGCGCAAGCCUGAUGCAGCGACGCCGCGUGGGGGAUGACGGCCUUCGGGUUGUAAACUCCUUUCGCUAGGGACGAAGCUUUGUGACGGUACCUAGAUAAGAAGCACCGGCUAACUACGUG
rnacentral:rRNA from 1 species